AAGUCGUAACAAGGUUUCCGUAGGUGAACCUGCGGAAGGAUCAUUAAAGAGUUAGGGUCUCACAGGCCCGACCUCCAACCCUUUCAGUUCGUUUAUGUAAUCAUAAACUGAUUGCUUUGGCGGGUGAGCCGCUCGGUCUCGAGCUGCUGGUCUUCGGCCCGGCAAGUGCCGCCAGAGUCUACUCAAACUCUUGUUUUAAUCCGGUCGUCUGAGUUAAAUUUUUGAAUUAAAUCAAAA
rnacentral:misc_RNA from 1 species